GCGCGCUACACUGAUGCGUUCAACGAGUUUAUAACCUUGAUUGAUAAGUCUGGGUAAUCUUUUAAACGCGCAUCGUGCUAGGGAUAGAUUAUUGCAAUUAUUAAUCUUGAACGAGGAAUUCCUAGUAAACGCAAGUCAUCAGCUUGCAUUGAUUACGUCCCUGCCCUUUGUACACACCG
rnacentral:rRNA from 1 species